ensembl:lncRNA
AUGUCACCAGGGGUCUGCGUCAGUUCCCCCCCACUAAGGGCCUCCUCUGGCGGCGUGGUGCUUUCUGUUGCUGCCCAAUCACUGGAUGGAGAGGGCAGCACCACGUGUGGCGCAUCUCCAGAGGAAUCUGCCGAGCCACUGGUUGUGAACCGGUGUGUGUCUCCGCUGCCAGAGUGGAAGCUUCUGCUGCUACUGCUUCCUUCUCCGCUGUACUCUAAGGACCCCCGUCCGAGCUCCAUGGCCAGUGUGGUGUCUCCAGAUGCCUCCGUCAGAAUAUCCCCAGUAACGAAUGUAACACUUCCUUCUUCUCUACUCGAGGACUCAGAAUCAGACAUUCCUGAUUCAGAUAGUCCUGAUCCAGAUGGUCCUGAUCCAGACAUUCCUGAUCCAAACAUUCCUGAUUCAGAUAGUCCUGAUCCAGACAAAUGUCCACCACUUCCAUGUCCAGAGGUGUAGAGUAGAAACCCGGAGGCCUCCUGCUCUCCAAAGGAUGAUACUGUAAGGUCAGUGAACCCCGACCCAACAAGGGUCACACCCGAGAAGAACCCGGAGCCACUUCCAGAGCCGCUGAGAAUCCCAGAUCCUGAAAUGUCUCCGGAGCCACUAAACGCCAGAGGGCCUCCGCCAAGCUCAUGCUCCUUGUGGGUAACACGAGUGGAGGCAUCGAUCAGUUCAUGAUCGAGCAGUAAGAUCUGUGCGUCCCCGCUUCCAGAAAUCUCUCCCGAGUGUCCGCUAGCGCUGCCAGAGGAGAAUCCUGAUGAGGACCCACUUGACCCAGAAAAGUCCUGGUUGGUGAUGAAACCAGAGAACUGUCCACUUUCUCCAGAGCCAUCUGCGGAUGAGCCGCUUAGGUCGGAGCCCAGAACGGAGCCCAGACCGGAGCCGGAUCCAGAACCGGACAAGUCCCCGCUACCACUGAGCUCUCCAGAGCCGACCUGAGAUGAAUGGAAGAUGAAGAUUCCCGUGCUCCCCUCUCCAGCUUCUUGGAGUCCACCUGAAGCCAAGCCCUCUCCAGAGAAGGAGCUGUCGAUGCCCGAAAAUACAACAGUGAUGCCGGAUCCAUCUCCACUUUGAGCUGAUCCAGAAGAAUCUGUGCUGCUGAUACCUAAUUCUCCACUGUGCAGGUCAGCACUGGCACUGCCAGCCGAGUCUCCAGAUCCAGAUAAUUCUCCAGAUCCAGACAGGCCUCCAGAUCCAAAUAAGUCACCAGAUCCAGAUAAUUCUCCAGAUC